AGAGUUUGAUCCUGGCUCAGGAUUAACUCUAGCAGGAUGCCUAAUACAUGCAAGUCGAACGAGGUAGCAAUACCUAGUGGCAAACGGGUGAGUAAUGCAUGCUCAAUCUACCCAUAAGAGGGAGAUAACAGCUCGAAAGAGUUGCUAAUAUCCCAUAUCAUAUGAAGACAUAAGUCUUUAUAUCUAAAGUUCCGUUUGGAACGCUUUUGGAUGAGAGUGUGUCUUAUCAGAUAGUUGGUGAGGUAACGGCCCACCAAGUCGAUGACGAGUAGCUGUGCUGAGAGGCAGAACAGCCACAAUGGGACUGAGACACGGUCCAUACUCCUACGGGAGGCAGCAGUAGGGAAUUUUUCACAAUGGGCGAAAGCCUGAUGGAGCAAUCCUGCGUGGAUGAUGAAGGCCCUUUGGGUCGUAAAAUCCUUUUAUAAGGGACGAAUGGCAUAACUAGGAAAUGAGUUAUGAAUGACUGUACCUUUUGAAUAAGUAACGGCUAACUAUGUGCCAGCAGCCGCGGUAAUACAUAGGUUACAAGCGUUAUCCGGAUUUACUGGGCGUAAAGCGAGCGCAGAUGGAUCAACAAGUCUGGUGUUAAAUAUCAAUGCUCAACGUUGGUAUGCAUUGGAAACUGUAGGUCUAGAGUUUGAUAGGAAGUUUUAGAACUCCAUGUGGAGCGGUGGAAUGCGCAGAUAUAUGGAAGAAUACCGGUGGUGAAAACGAAAACUUAGGUCACAACUGACAUUUAGGCUCGAAAGUGUGGGGAGCAAAUAGGAUUAGAUACCCUGGUAGUCCACGCUGUAAACGAUGAUUACUAGGUGUUGGGAGGCUAUAGCCUUUCGGUGCCGUCGCAAACGCAUUAAGUAAUCCACCUGGGGAGUACGUUCGCAAGAAUGAAACUCAAAGGAAUUGACGGGGACCCGCACAAGCGGUGGAGCAUGUGGUUUAAUUCGAAGCAACGCGAAGAACCUUACCAAAUCUUGACAUCCCGAUGAAAAGCUAUGUAACGUAGCUCCUACUUCGGUACAUCGGUGACAGGUGGUGCAUGGUUGUCGUCAGCUCGUGUCGUGAGAUGUUGGGUUAAGUCCCGCAACGAGCGCAACCCCUAUCUUUAGUAGCCAGCAUUUUGGAUGGGCACUCUAGAGAGACUGCCAGGGUUAACCUGGAGGAAGGUGGGGAUGACGUCAAAUCAUCAUGCCCCUUAUGAUUUGGGCUACACACGUGCUACAAUGGCGUAAACAAAGAGAAGCGAUCCUGUGAGGGGGAGCAAAUCUCAAAAAUAACGUCUCAGUUCGGAUUGUAGUCUGCAACUCGACUACAUGAAGCUGGAAUCGCUAGUAAUCGCAGAUCAGAAUGCUGCGGUGAAUACGUUCCCGGGUCUUGUACACACCGCCGGUCA
rnacentral:rRNA from 1 species